UGACAUAUGUCAUAUUGACCGGAUACGCGUCAGAGCAGUCAAACUUGGCCAUUUUCUUUUCUUAUUUUCUUUGAAUUUCGUCUUUGUUUAGAGCGUUUGGUCUCCGGUGCGGUGUCAUUUAAAAUCCAUUAUUGUGUUGAAAUUACCUUAAAAAGCCAAAUCAAAAUGCAGCGUGGCCGCUCUGACACGACCACCAAAGUGUUUGUUGGUAGCCUCCCGGCGGCAGCCACAACCGAUGAUCUUCGGAAGCUUUUCGAGCCCUACGGUAAUAUCGCCGAGUGCGAUAUUUCCAAUAAAUGCGGUUUCUUGCAUUUGGACGAUGCCGACCUGGCCAUGAAGGCGAUUAAUGAUCUGAAUGGUACAGAUUUUAUGGGGUCUCGCAUUUCCGUUGAAAAAGGACGCGUUAAAAUGAGACGUGGUGGAGGUGGCGGCGGCCCUAUGCGUCCGGGCGGCGGUAGAGACAGGGGAGGUGGCCCAUAUUCUAGAGGUGGUGGCAGAGACUUUGGUGGUGGACGAGGAGGCAGAGGUGGUUUCGGUGGCCGAGGAGGUGGUAGAGGUGGUUUUGGAGGCAGAGGUCGAGGAGGUGGUGGCUAUGAUGACAGAAGAGGAGGUGGUGGUGGUGGUGGUGGAUAUGGGCAAGACAGAGGAGGUUAUGACUCAUAUGGAGGUGGUGCCAGAGGAGGCUAUGAUGACAGAGGGGCAUAUGGAGAUGGACCCAGAGGUGGUGGUGGAGGUUAUGAAGAUAGAAGGGUAGCACCGCAUGUUAGGGUUCCAGAAGGAGGGGACCUUUACAGCAGACGUGACAUGGGGAAACCAAUGGGUGGCGGUGGAGGCGGAGGCUACGACAGAUACGGAGCUGCCGGCGGUGGCGGCUCUAACGGUUACGGCAGCGCUGCCGCCGGCGGUUACGGAGGUGCUGCCUCCGGUGGUUACGGAGGUGCCGCGUCUGGUGGUUACGGCGGUGCCGCCUCCGGUGGCUACGGAGGAGGUGCCGGUGGCGGAUAUGCGGCCCAAAGUGCCGGCGGCGGUUACGGAGGUGCCGCCAGCGGUGGCUACGGUGCAGGUUCAGCAGCCGGCGGUUACGCGGCUAACACCGGCGCGGGCGGAUAUGGCGGCAACGACGGAUAUGCUUCCGGUGGUGGAGCGGCUGGUGGAUAUGGAGACAGUAGUGGAUAUGGUAGCGCGGCUGGCGGAUACGGCGGAGGCGGUUACGACGACGGUUACGGCGGUGGCGGCGGCGCUGCCGCAGGCGGCUACGACUCUGCCUAUCCUCCAUUACCAGCACAAAGAGGGAGAAGCCGGUUCCUGACAUCUAUUCCAAUUGUCUAAUACGCCUCUUCACCGCAUUCAGUGAACGUAAAAACGGAGAGGUGUCAGGGAAAAGCGAAAUAUCUCAGUACCGAUACUAUGCGAUCUGUCUGUACUGCCAAAAAUUCUUAUUCAUCCAGUCCAUAUUCUCACCUCUUGACCCGCAUAAGUGUCGGUGCGUAGAAUAGGUUCAUGCGCGUGUAUAAACAUUAUAAUUGUAUCGAUAAAAGAGUGUGUAAAAAGUGAUAGUAAAAUAGGAAUAAUCUGGGAAUAAAAUAGGUCAGACGUAUGAUUGAACACAAAUUUUUAAUUUAAUUUAAGUCCUACAAAAAAAAAUAAUGCAAAUAGCAUUGGAGUCGCAAAAAAAACAUAAAAUAAUACAAUUUUUUGUAGUAAUAAAUAUGUUCCUUAUUAUCUGAAAUCCCAUUGAACCCCUUAAACGAUCCGUUUCCAAUUCUAGUAGCCUGAAAAUGACCUAAUUAUAUUAUAUUUCAAUAGUUUUCUUUGGUGUUACCAUUGUAUUGGUCACUAAUAUUUCUACAAAUUCUGUUUUCGAACAUUUUCUUCAAUAAUAAAACUUGUUUACCUACUCCUGUGUGUUAAUAAAAUGCGCCUGUAUUUUGAUAACACUCUCGGUAAGUUCGUCCUUCGGUUAUAACUCGGUACUCUUUUAUCAUUCCGAAAAUGUAUUAUAAGUGAAGAAAAUGCUUAAAAUAAUUUUUGAGUUUUAAACAGAUUUUCGGGUAAAUUUAUAACCAGGAAAGAUACCAAAAUGAUUUAUUUUUAACAAGUUUUUUUUCUGUACCUAUUUGCAUCCCCUAGUGGUAGAUUACCAUAUAUUUUAUGUAAACGUUGAAAAUAUGAAGCCGUUUCGCUAAAUAGAUCUAUGCCGUUUAUUCCAAGUUCAUUUUAAAAUCGUAAGUCACGGAACGUAGUAGAAGACCGCAAACAAGUAGGCACAAUAGAUAGACCGAGCCCGAAGCGAAUUAAUUAUUGCCGAUAUAUAUAAAGAAAGCCACCCCGCCGAAGAAAAAUCAGCGAAGAAAAUAGCGUUUUAACAUUGCGCCAUCUCACGUGAAGGUUAAGAAGACAUGAUGCGUAUAAUGUGCGGCGUUCGCCUACUUAGCCAACGAAUACAUGCUUAUGCGUACGACUUUGGCCCCAUUGCGCAGGUAUACGUGGCAUACCAACGAAUUAAAAAAGGUUUCCUACUUGAGGCUUUGAAUAUGUGGGGGUGAGACAAAGAAAAUGUAUCGCUUAGGGAAUGGUUUGGUUUGCCGCUAGUGAAAAGCUUUUUUCAGAAACCAUGUUUACCAAUCAUCAGGGAACAAGCAAUCGGAUAAAUUACAGAUAAUUUUUAAAUUGAAAUUAUUGAUAUUAACCAGGUUACUAAAUAAAUGAAUUUUAACUUA